rnacentral:rRNA from 1 species
UACAUGGGGUGCAAACGUUGCUCGGAAUUAUUGGGCGUAAAGCGCACGUAGGCGGUCCGUUAAGUCAGAUGUGAAAGCCCCCGGCUCAACCGGGGAAGUGCAUCUGAAACUGGCGGGCUAGAGUACGAAAGAGGGUCGCGGAAUUCCCGGUGUAGAGGUGAAAUUCGUAGAUAUCGGGAGGAACACCGGUGGCGAAGGCGGCGACCUGGGUCGAUACUGACGCUGAGGUGCGAAAGCGUGGGGAGCAAAC